rnacentral:rRNA from 1 species
AUUGAACGCUGGCGGCAGGCCUAACACAUGCAAGUCGAACGGUAGCACAGAGAGCUUGCUCUUGGGUGACGAGUGGCGGACGGGUGAGUAAUGUCUGGGAAACUGCCCGAUGGAGGGGGAUAACUACUGGAAACGGUAGCUAAUACCGCAUAACGUCUUCGGACCAAAGUGGGGGACCUUCGGGCCUCACACCAUCGGAUGUGCCCAGAUGGGAUUAGCUAGUAGGUGGGGUAAAGGCUCACCUAGGCGACGAUCCCUAGCUGGUCUGAGAGGAUGACCAGCCACAGUGGAACUGAGACACGGUCCAGACUCCUACGGGAGGCAGCAGUGGGGAAUAUUGCACAAUGGGCGCAAGCCUGAUGCAGCCAUGCCGCGUGUAUGAAGAAGGCCUUCGGGUUGUAAAGUACUUUCAGCGGGGAGGAAGGCGUUAAGGUUAAUAACCUUGGCGAUUGACGUUACCCGCAGAAGAAGCACCGGCUAACUCCGUGCCAGCAGCCGCCGUAA